GCCAGGCAUGGUGAUGUGUGCCUGUAAUCCCAGCUACUUGGGAGGCUGAGGCAGGAGAAUCACUUGAACCUAGGAGGCAGAGGUUGCAGUGAGCUGAGAUCAUGCCACUGCACUCCAGCCUGGGCAACAGAGUGAGACUCUGUCUCAA
rfam:Gorilla gorilla gorilla genomic chromosome, chr12, whole genome shotgun sequence